rnacentral:rRNA from 1 species
GACAGAGGGUGCAAACGUUGUUCGGAAUCACUGGGCGUAAAGGGCGCGUAGGCGGCUGUUCAAGUCGGGGGUGAAAGCCUGUGGCUCAACCACAGAAUUGCCUUCGAUACUGGACGGCUCGAGACCGGAAGAGGUCAGUGGAACUGCGAGUGUAGAGGUGAAAUUCGUAGAUAUUCGCAAGAACACCAGUGGCGAAGGCGGCUGACUGGUCCGGUUCUGACGCUGAGGCGCGAAAGCGUGGGGAGCAAACAGG